GAUGAACGCUGGCGGCGUGCCUAAUACAUGCAAGUCGAGCGAACGGACGAGAAGCUUGCUUCUCUGAUGUUAGCGGGUGACGGGUGAGUAACAGGUGAAUAACCUACCUAUAAGACUGGGAUAGCUGGGGGAAACCGUAGCUAAUAACGGAUAAUCUUUUGAACUUCAUGGUUCAAAAGUGAAAGACGGUCUUGCGGUCACGUAUAGAUGGAACCGCGCUGCAUUAGCUAGUUGGUAAGGUAACGGCUUACCAAGGCAACGAUGCAUAGCCGACCUGAGAGGGUGAUCGGCCACACUGGAACUGAGACACGGUCCAGACUCCUACGGGAGGCAGCAGUAGGGAAUUUUCCGCAAUGGGCGAAAGCCUGACGGAGCAACGCCGCGUGAGUGAUGAAGGUCUUCGGAUCGUAAAACUCUGUUAUUAGGGAAGACCAGAUGUGUAAGUAACUGUGCACAUCUUGACGGUACCUAAUCAGAAAGCCACGGCUAACUACGUG
rnacentral:rRNA from 1 species